rnacentral:rRNA from 1 species
GAUGAACGCUAGCGGCAGGCCUAAUACAUGCAAGUCAAGGGGAUAGCAAUAUCACCGGCGGACGGGUGCGUAACGCGUACACAACGUGCCCAAGGGCGGAGGAAAGCGGCGGGAAACUGCCGGUAAUACUCCAUGGUGUUGUUGAGUGGCAUCACUUAACAACUAAAGUACAAGCGCCCUUGGAUCGGUGUGCGUUCGAUUAGCUAGUUGGCGGGGUAACGGCCCACCAAGGCUUCGAUCGAUAGGGGGUGUGAGAGCAUGACCCCCCCACACGGGUACUGAGACACGGACCCGACUCCUACGGGAGGCAGCAGUAAGGAAUAUUGGACAAUGGGCGGAAGCCUGAUCCAGCCAUGCCGCGUGAAGGACGAAGGCGCUCAGCGUUGUAAACUUCUUUUGGAUGGGAACAAUAACUCCGACUUGUCGGAACUUGAGGGUACCAUCAGAAUAAGCACCGGCUAACUCCGUGCCAGCAGCCGCGGUAAAGUCUGUACU